GCCUGGAUGGUGAAAUCGGUAGACACAAGGGACUUAAAAUCCCUCGACGGGUGACCGUCGUGCCGGUUCGAUUCCGGCUCCAGGCA
rnacentral:tRNA from 1 species